rnacentral:tRNA from 1 species
GAUGAUCCUCAGUGGUCUGGGGUGCAGGCCUCAAACCUGGAGCUGUCUAGCGACAGAAUGGUUCAUUUCCACCUUUG